rnacentral:tRNA from 2 species
CGCGGGGUGGAGCAGCCUGGUAGCUCGUCGGGCUCAUAACCCGAAGGUCGUCGGUUCAAAUCCGUCCCCCGCAACCA